GGGUUGUGAGGUUAAGCGACUAAGCGUACACGGUGGAUGCCCUGGCAGUCAGAGGCGAUGAAGGACGUGCUAAUCUGCGAUAAGCGUCGGUAAGGUGAUAUGAACCGUUAUAACCGGCGAUUUCCGAAUGGGGAAACCCAGUGUGUUUCGACACACUAUCAUUAACUGAAUCCAUAGGUUAAUGAGGCGAACCGGGGGAACUGAAACAUCUAAGUACCCCGAGGAAAAGAAAUCAACCGAGAUUCCCCCAGUAGCGGCGAGCGAACGGGGAGCAGCCCAGAGCCUGAAUCAGUGUGUGUGUUAGUGGAAGCGUCUGGAAAGGCGCGCGAUACAGGGUGACAGCCCCGUACACAAAAAUGCACAUGCUGUGAGCUCGAUGAGUAGGGCGGGACACGUGGUAUCCUGUCUGAAUAUGGGGGGACCAUCCUCCAAGGCUAAAUACUCCUGACUGACCGAUAGUGAACCAGUACCGUGAGGGAAAGGCGAAAAGAACCCCGGCGAGGGGAGUGAAAAAGAACCUGAAACCGUGUACGUACAAGCAGUGGGAGCACGCUUAGGCGUGUGACUGCGUACCUUUUGUAUAAUGGGUCAGCGACUUAUAUUCUGUAGCAAGGUUAACCGAAUAGGGGAGCCGAAGGGAAACCGAGUCUUAACUGGGCGUUAAGUUGCAGGGUAUAGACCCGAAACCCGGUGAUCUAGCCAUGGGCAGGUUGAAGGUUGGGUAACACUAACUGGAGGACCGAACCGACUAAUGUUGAAAAAUUAGCGGAUGACUUGUGGCUGGGGGUGAAAGGCCAAUCAAACCGGGAGAUAGCUGGUUCUCCCCGAAAGCUAUUUAGGUAGCGCCUCGUGAAUUCAUCUCCGGGGGUAGAGCACUGUUUCGGCAAGGGGGUCAUCCCGACUUACCAACCCGAUGCAAACUGCGAAUACCGGAGAAUGUUAUCACGGGAGACACACGGCGGGUGCUAACGUCCGUCGUGAAGAGGGAAACAACCCAGACCGCCAGCUAAGGUCCCAAAGUCAUGGUUAAGUGGGAAACGAUGUGGGAAGGCCCAGACAGCCAGGAUGUUGGCUUAGAAGCAGCCAUCAUUUAAAGAAAGCGUAAUAGCUCACUGGUCGAGUCGGCCUGCGCGGAAGAUGUAACGGGGCUAAACCAUGCACCGAAGCUGCGGCAGCGACGCUGAUGCGUUGUUGGGUAGGGGAGCGUUCUGUAAGCCUGCGAAGGUGUGCUGUGAGGCAUGCUGGAGGUAUCAGAAGUGCGAAUGCUGACAUAAGUAACGAUAAAGCGGGUGAAAAGCCCGCUCGCCGAAAGACCAAGGGUUCCUGUCCAACGUUAAUCGGGGCAGGGUGAGUCGACCCCUAAGGCGAGGCCGAAAGGCGUAGUCGAUGGGAAACAGGUUAAUAUUCCUGUACUUGGUGUUACUGCGAAGGGGGGACGGAGAAGGCUAUGUUGGCCGGGCGACGGUUGUCCCGGUUUAAGCGUGUAGGCUGGUUUUCCAGGCAAAUCCGGAAAAUCAAGGCUGAGGCGUGAUGACGAGGCACUACGGUGCUGAAGCAACAAAUGCCCUGCUUCCAGGAAAAGCCUCUAAGCAUCAGGUAACAUCAAAUCGUACCCCAAACCGACACAGGUGGUCAGGUAGAGAAUACCAAGGCGCUUGAGAGAACUCGGGUGAAGGAACUAGGCAAAAUGGUGCCGUAACUUCGGGAGAAGGCACGCUGAUAUGUAGGUGAAGUCCCUUGCGGAUGGAGCUGAAAUCAGUCGAAGAUACCAGCUGGCUGCAACUGUUUAUUAAAAACACAGCACUGUGCAAACACGAAAGUGGACGUAUACGGUGUGACGCCUGCCCGGUGCCGGAAGGUUAAUUGAUGGGGUUAGCCGCAAGGCGAAGCUCUUGAUCGAAGCCCCGGUAAACGGCGGCCGUAACUAUAACGGUCCUAAGGUAGCGAAAUUCCUUGUCGGGUAAGUUCCGACCUGCACGAAUGGCGUAAUGAUGGCCAGGCUGUCUCCACCCGAGACUCAGUGAAAUUGAACUCGCUGUGAAGAUGCAGUGUACCCGCGGCAAGACGGAAAGACCCCGUGAACCUUUACUAUAGCUUGACACUGAACAUUGAGCCUUGAUGUGUAGGAUAGGUGGGAGGCUUGGAAGUGUGGACGCCAGUCUGCAUGGAGCCGACCUUGAAAUACCACCCUUUAAUGUUUGAUGUUCUAACGUUGACCCGUAAUCCGGGUUGCGGACAGUGUCUGGUGGGUAGUUUGACUGGGGCGGUCUCCUCCUAAAGAGUAACGGAGGAGCACGAAGGUUGGCUAAUCCUGGUCGGACAUCAGGAGGUUAGUGCAAUGGCAUAAGCCAGCUUGACUGCGAGCGUGACGGCGCGAGCAGGUGCGAAAGCAGGUCAUAGUGAUCCGGUGGUUCUGAAUGGAAGGGCCAUCGCUCAACGGAUAAAAGGUACUCCGGGGAUAACAGGCUGAUACCGCCCAAGAGUUCAUAUCGACGGCGGUGUUUGGCACCUCGAUGUCGGCUCAUCACAUCCUGGGGCUGAAGUAGGUCCCAAGGGUAUGGCUGUUCGCCAUUUAAAGUGGUACGCGAGCUGGGUUUAGAACGUCGUGAGACAGUUCGGUCCCUAUCUGCCGUGGGCGCUGGAGAACUGAGGGGGGCUGCUCCUAGUACGAGAGGACCGGAGUGGACGCAUCACUGGUGUUCGGGUUGUCAUGCCAAUGGCACUGCCCGGUAGCUAAAUGCGGAAGAGAUAAGUGCUGAAAGCAUCUAAGCACGAAACUUGCCCCGAGAUGAGUUCUCCCUGACCCUUUAAGGGUCCUGAAGGAACGUUGAAGACGACGACGUUGAUAGGCCGGGUGUGUAAGCGCAGCGAUGCGUUGAGCUAACCGGUACUAAUGAACCGUGAGGCUUAACCUUACAACGCCGAAGCUGUU
rnacentral:rRNA from 1 species